rnacentral:rRNA from 1 species
CCUACGGGGGGCAGCAGUGAGGAAUAUUGGUCAAUGGGCGGGAGCCUGAACCAGCCAAGUCGCGUGAGGGAAGACGGUCCUAGGGAUUGUAAACCUCUUUAGGCGGGGAGCAAUGCCGGGCACGCGUGCCCGGAGGGAGAGUACCCGCAGAAUAAGCAUCGGCUAACUCCGUGCCAGCAGCCGCGGUAAUACGGAGGAUGCGAGCGGUAUCCGUAUUUGUUGGGGUUAAAGGGUGCGUAGGCGGAUUUUUCAGUCAGGGGUAAAAGGGCCGGGCUCCACCCGGGCAGGCGGGUGAUACUGGGGAUCUGGAGUGGGCGAGAAGUAUGGGGAAUGCGUGGUGUAGCGGGGAAAUGCAUAGAUAGCAGGAAGAACUCGGAUGGCGAAGGCAGAAUACGGGCGCCGGACGGACGCUGAGGCACGAAAGCGUGGGGAUCGAACAGGAUUAGAUACCCGGGUAGUC